GUAAAGUGCAAAUUUACAGCGGCACCAUAGGAGGUGCCGGGGCUUCUCCCGUUU
rnacentral:tRNA from 1 species